rnacentral:ribozyme from 1 species
AGUGGUACCAGAAAGCGGCGGAUCUGGGGUUCGUCAAAGGUUGGUAUGCCAUCGAACAGUUGCAGCCCCACGCUUAUGACAAG